rnacentral:rRNA from 1 species
GAUGAACGCUGGCGGCGUGCCUAAUACAUGCAAGUCGAGCGAACGGACGAGAAGCUUGCUUCUCUGAUGUUAGCGGCGGACGGGUGAGUAACACGUGGAUAACCUACCUAUAAGACUGGGAUAACUUCGGGAAACCGGAGCUAAUACCGGAUGAUAUUUUGAAACGCAUGGUUCAAAAGUGAAAGACGGUCUUGCUGUCACUUAUAGAUGGAUCCGCGCUGCAUUAGCUAGUUGGUAAGGUAACGGCUUACCAAGGCAACGAUGCAUAGCCGACCUGAGAGGGUGAUCGGCCACACUGGAACUGAGACACGGUCCAGACUCCUACGGGAGGCAGCAGUAGGGAAUCUUCCGCAAUGGGCGAAAGCCUGACGGAGCAACGCCGCGUGAGUGAUGAAGGUCUUCGGAUCGUAAAACUCUGUUAUUAGGGAAGAACAUAUGUGUAAGUAACUGUUCACAUCUUGACGUUACCUAAUCAGAAAGCCACGGCUAACUACGUG